AUUGUUUUCAUAAAACGCGUGACAUCCUAAACCUUGACAUUGUUGGCGGAAUCAGAGAACAGAAAAAAACCGUUUAGACAUAUUUAAAUACCUAGUACAAUUGAUCCUUUCAUUACAGUAGUUUCAGCAUAGUCGAUAAAAUACAUAGUUUAUUUAUUUUUGUUUUAUUUAUUUACACAAUCCUUACAUAUGUUUCAGGAUUAAAAAAGAGGAUGAAUACUGGACUAAUAAUCUGGUAGAAAUUAUUAGAAAAAGCAGGAAUGAAACUGAUUGGUACCCUUCAAAUUCAAGCGUGAUUUGUAGUGUACAUUUUGACGAUAAUGAUUUCUACACCACAGAAGGAGGACGUCUCUAUCUUGUGAAAAAUGCGAUACCAAAGAAGUUUUUGGAGCCUUCAUGUUUCCAGGAAGAAAACUUAGUUGAUUCAUCUAUACCUACAACGGAAUUAAAAUCAAGUACCGUGGAAUUAGACCAACCUCACACAUCUCAGAAACUCAAUCUCACUGUGCCUGGAUUGCCAUUUGAAGCUGAAGUACUACUUUCUCCUUCUUUCUAACGUUAGACGGGCAUUUUUCCACUUUCUAUAAAUAAGUAGAUAUAUUAAUACAAAUAUUAUAGAGAAUUCUCACACAGAUUGGCAGAGUCCCACGACAAGCUCAAUAAGGUUUGCGUUGUGGAUACCUAGACAACGAUAUAUUUAAUAUAGGUACAAACACUUAGAUACAUAUAAAACAUCCAUGACUCAGAAACAAAAUAUGUAUGCGUGCUCAUCAAGACAUCAUACAAGAAAUGCCCUUAAAUGACGAUUCUUUUUUUUUCUUAUUACACUUAUUAUUUUAUUAUAUACAUCAUUAUUAUUUUUUAUAUUUCUAGACUGGAGCCCUGGAGACAAAGAGUACACUCGUGGAAGAAAAAGAAACCUCCGACCCAAAAACUCUCCUCUAUGUACAAAAGGCAGGUAUCUGUAAUACAAUAGGUACUUACCGUAAAUUAAAUGCAACUAAAAUAUCA